rnacentral:rRNA from 1 species
AUGCACUCGCCCCGAACUGCUCUGGCGAUGCCCUCCCUCUAUAUCCCUGCCUCUCUGCGCGCUGCUUCUUAUCCAUCCCGGCCGUGCCCCAUGGAUUCUACCGGCAGCUGCAAGGGAUGGCCGGAGAGCGCACUACUGCGGGAGCCGAUCGAAUACGCCGCUGCUGCACCGCCACACGUCUCUGCUAGUAGCAGGGAGACGACGAACUACACAAGCAGCAGAGCAACGAGCGAGAUCGAUGAGCCUGACGACAACGGCAAGCUGGAGUCUCCCCCGACGAGCUCGACGAGGAAUAGGACGACGGCGAUGUCUCGGAGCAGCACGGUCGACCUCGGCGCCCUCCUGCCCGGCGUAGCCCCACUAGCAAAACCCAAGAUGCUGUCCAACCAAGUUUGUGUAUCCACAUUGCUUCUGAUGGCAUUGAAAGCUUCUACAAAGGCUUCCUCUUCCUCAUACUUUUACAUGCAAGCGCUGAAAUCAGCAAGUACAUUUGGUCCCUCCUCGUCUUUUUUCUUAUGA